rnacentral:miRNA from 1 species
UCUCCAACGAUGACUGAUGGU